rnacentral:rRNA from 1 species
CAGUAGCCGCGGUAAUACGAAGGGUGCAAGCGCUAAUCGGAAUUACUGGGCGUAAAGCGUGCGUAGGCGGUUUGUUAAGUCUGCUGUGAAAUCCCCGGGCUCAACCUGGGAAUGGCAGUGGAUACUGGCAAGCUAGAGUGUGUCAGAGGAUGGUGGAAUUCCCGGUGUAGCGGUGAAAUGCGUAGAGAUCGGGAGGAACAUCAGUGGCGAAGGCGGCCAUCUGGGACAACACUGACGCUGAGGCACGAAAGCGUGGGGAGCAAACAGGAUUAGAUACCCGUGUAGUCCCUGUCUCUUAUAA